rfam:Rattus norvegicus chromosome 13, whole genome shotgun sequence.
GGGGAUUUAGCUCAGUGAUAGAGCGCUUGCCUAGCAAGCACAAGGCCCUGGGUUCGGUCCCCAGCUCCG